rnacentral:rRNA from 1 species
CAGUAGCCACGGUAAUACGAAGGGUGCAAGCGUUAAUUGGAAUUACUGGGCGUAAAGCGUGCGUAGGCGGUUUGUUAAGUCUGCUGUGAAAUCCCCGGGCUCAACCUGGGAAUGGCAGUGGAUACUGGCAAGCUAGAGUGUGUCAGAGGAUGGUGGAAUUCCCGGUGUAGCGGUGAAAUGCGUAGAGAUCGGGAGGAACAUCAGUGGCGAAGGCGGCCAUCUGGGACAACACUGACGCUGAGGCACGAAAGCGUGGGGAGCAAACAGGAUUAGAUACCCCAGUAGUCCCUGUCUCUUAUAA